GAACCAGUACCGUGAGGGAAAGGUGAAAAGCACCCCGACGAGGGGAGUGAAACAGUACCUGAAACCGAACGCCUACAAUCAGUUGGAGCAUCCUUGCGAUGUGACAGCGUACCUUUUGUAUAAUGGGUCAUCGACUUGGUCUAUCUAGCAAGCUUAAGCCGUUAGGUGUAGGCGCAGCGAAAGCGAGUCUUAAUAGGGCGCAUGAGUUAGAUGGAUCAGACCCGAAACCGAGUGAUCUAGGCAUGACCAGGAUGAAGAUAAGGUAACACUUAUUGGAGGUCCGAACCCACACCUGUUGAAAAAGGUCGGGAUGAGUUGUGCCUAGGGGUGAAAGGCCAAUCAAACUCGGAGAUAGCUGGUUCUCCGCGAAAUCUAUUUAGGUAGAGCGUCAUCCGAAUACCCCGGGGGGUAGAGCACUGGAUGGGUAAUGGGGCCCCACAGGCUUACUGAUCCUAACCAAACUCCGAAUACCCGGGAGUACUAGAUGGCAGACACACGGCGGAUGCUAACGUCCGUCGUGGAGAGGGAAACAACCCUGACCGACAGUUAAGGCCCCCAAUUCAUGGCUAAGUGGGAAAGCAGGUGGGACGACCAAAACAACCAGGAGGUUGGCUUAGAAGCAGCCAUCCUUUAAAGAUAGCGUAACAGCUCACUGGUCUAAAUAAGUUGUCCUGCGGCGAAGAUGUAACGGGGCUCAAGCCAUGAGCCGAAACUUCGGACGCGAGUAAUCGCGUGGUAGCGGAGCGUAGUGUGAUAUAGCACCACGCCUCUUUAGCAAUUCUUUUGAAUUGCCUUGGAGGCUUAGGUGCUUUCUGUGAAGCCGGGCUGUAAGGCAUCCGGUGGAGAGAUCACUAGUGAGAAUGAUGACAUGAGUAGCGACAAAGAGUGUGAGAGACACUCUCGCCGAAAGUCCAAGGGUUCCUGCUUAAAGCUAAUCUGAGCAGGGUAAGCCGGCCCCUAAGUCGAGGCAGAAAUGCGUAGACGAUGGGAACUAGGUUAAUAUUCCUAGGCCAGGAGGAUGUGACGGAUCGUGAAGGUUGUUCACCCUUAUUGGAUUGGGUGGGCCGCUAAUCGGUUCCUGGAAAUAGCCCUCCAUAAGAUCGUACCCUAAACCGACACAGGUGGACUGGUAGAGAAUACCAAGGCGCUUGAGAGAACUAUGUUGAAGGAACUCGGCAAAAUACCUCCGUAAGUUCGCGAGAAGGAGGCCCAGUUUCUACGCAAGUAUUGGCUGGGGGCACAAACCAGGGGGUGGCGACUGUUUACUAAAAACACAGGGCUCUGCGAAGUCGCAAGACGACGUAUAGGGUCUGACGCCUGCCCGGUGCCUGAAGGUUAAAAGGAGGGGUGAGAGCUCCGAAUUGAAGCCCAGGUAAACGGCGGCCGUAACUAUAACGGUCCUAAGGUAGCGAAAUUCCUUGUCGGGUAAGUUCCGACCUGCACGAAUGGCGUAACGACUUCCCCGCUGUCUCCAACAUAGACUCAGCGAAAUUGAAUUGCCUGUCAAGAUGCAGGCUUCCCGCGGUUAGACGGAAAGACCCCGUGCACCUUUACUACAGCUUCGCACUGGCAUCAGGCACAACAUGUGCAGGAUAGGUGGUGGGCUUUGAAGCAGAAACGCCAGUUUCUGUGGAGCCUCCCUUGAGAUACCACCCUUGUUCUGCUUGAUGUCUAACCGCGGUCCGUUAUCCGGAUCCGGGACCCUGCGUGGCGGGUAGUUUGACUGGGGCGGUCGCCUCCUAAAGAGUAACGGAGGCGCGCGAAGGUUGGCUCAGAGCGGUCGGAAAUCGCUCGUUGAGUGCAAUGGCAGAAGCCAGCCUGACUGCGAGACUGACAAGUCGAGCAGAGACGAAAGUCGGCCAUAGUGAUCCGGUGGUCCCGAGUGGAAGGGCCAUCGCUCAACGGAUAAAAGGUACGCCGGGGAUAACAGGCUGAUACUGCCCAAGAGUCCAUAUCGACGGCAGUGUUUGGCACCUCGAUGUCGGCUCAUCUCAUCCUGGGGCUGGAGCAGGUCCCAAGGGUAUGGCUGUUCGCCAUUUAAAGAGGUACGUGAGCUGGGUUUAGA
rnacentral:rRNA from 1 species